GAUGAACGCUGGCGGCGUGCUUAACACAUGCAAGUCGAACGGUGAAGGCGGAGCUUGCUCUGCUGGAUCAGUGGCGAACGGGUGAGUAACACGUGAGCAAUCUGCCCCUGACUCUGGGAUAAGCGCUGGAAACGGCGUCUAAUACUGGAUACGAGCUGCGAAGGCAUCUUCAGCAGCUGGAAAGAAUUUCGGUCAGGGAUGAGCUCGCGGCCUAUCAGCUUGUUGGUGAGGUAAUGGCUCACCAAGGCGUCGACGGGUAGCCGGCCUGAGAGGGUGACCGGCCACACUGGGACUGAGACACGGCCCAGACUCCUACGGGAGGCAGCAGUGGGGAAUAUUGCACAAGGGGCGAAAGCCUGAUGCAGCAACGCCGCGUGAGGGACGACGGCCUUCGGGUUGUAAACCUCUUUUAGCAGGGAAGAAGCGAAAGUGACGGUACCUGCAGAAAAAACGCCGGCUAACUACGU
rnacentral:rRNA from 1 species